CGCACGGGUGAGUAACACGUAUCCAACCUGCCGUCUACUCUUGGACAGCCUACUGAAAGGAAGAUUAAUACAAGAUGGCAUCAUGAGUCCGCAUGUUCACAUGAUUAAAGGUAUUCCGGUAGACGAUGGGGAUGCGUUCCAUUAGAUAGUAGGCGGGGUAACGGCCCACCUAGUCUUCGAUGGAUAGGGGUUCUGAGAGGAAGGUCCCCCACAUUGGAACUGAGACACGGUCCAAACUCCUACGGGAGGCAGCAG
rnacentral:rRNA from 1 species